rnacentral:rRNA from 1 species
UACGUAGGGGGCAAGCGUUAUCCGGAUUUACUGGGUGUAAAGGGAGCGUAGACGGUAAUGUAAGUCUGAUGUGAAAGCCCGGGGCUCAACCCCGGGACUGCAUUGGAAACUAUGUAACUAGAGUACCGGAGAGGUAAGCGGAAUUCCUAGUGUAGCGGUGAAAUGCGUAGGUAUUAGGAGGAACACCAGUGGCGAAGGCGGCUUACUGGACGGAAACUGACGUUGAGGCUCGAAAGCGUGGGGAGCAAACAGG